GGAUGCGAUCAUACCAGCACUAACGCACCGGAUCCCAUCAGAACUCCGAAGUUAAGCGUGCUUGGGCGAGAGUAGUACUAGGAUGGGUGACCCCCUGGGAAGUCCUCGUGUUGCAUUCCC
rnacentral:rRNA from 1 species